rnacentral:lncRNA from 1 species
AAAAAAUAUAAGGGUUUAAUAGAUUUGGGAGGGGGAGUUUAAGGGCUUAACCAUUUAGCCUUAAUUAUAUGUACAUUUUUAAUGGGUAAAUUACAUGAAUAAUCACUAACCUUUAAUUAAAAUUAUGUUUCAAUCUCUUAACUUUCUAAAGUUAUGUUAUCGAGUUAUUGCAUUUUAGCUAUCCCCUGUUAACUUCCAUUACUCCCAUAACAAAAUGAUGACAUGACAUG